rnacentral:misc_RNA from 1 species
GAUGAAGAACGCAGCGAAAUGCGAUAAGUAAUGCGAAUUGCAGAAUUCAGUGAGUCAUCGCAUCUUUGAACGCACAUUGCGCCCUGUGGUAUUCCGCAGGGCAUGCCUGUUCGAGCGUCAUUUCAACCCUCAAGCUCUGCUUGGUGUUGGGCCCUGCCCGCUGCGGCCGGCCCUAAAGACAGUGGCGGUGCCGCCUGGCCCUGAGCGUAGUACAUCUCUCGCUCCAGUGCCCGGUGGUAGCCUGCCAGAACCCCAACUCUCGUGGUUGACCUCGGAUCAGGUAGGGAUACCCGCUGAACUUAAGCAUAUCAAUAAGCGGAGGA